UUUUUCUAAGGGUAUAAAAAAAGAUUCGAAAAGCAUACCGAUUACAGAAAAACACUUAGAACAUUGAAAAUUCGGAGAAAACAUUUUGCGGUAUUAAUAAAAGGAACGUCAAAUAAAGACAACUAUGAUUCGAAGCGUAUUUUACCUGUUACUCAGCAUUUCCUUUUUUGUAAUGGUUGCUUCAGGUCCCCCAGUUCCGGUGCCCGUAACAAGAAAUGUUGACUGCGGUGAACAUAAAAAUGGAGAAACAUUUCAAACAGAAGAUCCCUGCAUGGAACAAACGUGCAAUUAUGGAAUGUUGUCUGGUUCCGGGU